rnacentral:rRNA from 1 species
CCCGCCUGCCCUGUGACCAUGUGUUUAACGGCCGCGGUAUUUUGACCGUGCGAAGGUAGCGCAAUCACUUGUCUUUUAAAUGAAGACCUGUAUGAAUGGCAUAACGAGGGCUAAGCUGUCUCCUUUUUCCAGUCAAUGAAAUUGAUCUGCCCGUGCAGAAGCGGGCAUAAACACAUUAGACGAGAAGACCCUAUGGAGCUUCAGACACAAGGACAGCCUAUGUUAAGAAACCUUAAUCAAGAGACUAAACCAAACAGUCCCUGUCCUCCUGUCUUUGGUUGGGGCGACCGCGGGGUAACAACUAACCCCCAUGUGGAACAAGGACACCUCCUUUAAAACCAGGGCCACAGCCCUAAUAAGCAGAACAUCUGACCAACAAGAUCCGGCACUGCCGAUCAACGGACCGAGUUACCCUAGGGAUAACAGCGCAAUCCUCUUUUAGAGCCCAUAUCGACAAGGGGGUUUACGACCUCGAUGUUGGAUCAGGACAUCCUAAUGGUGCAGCCGCUAUUAAGGGUUCGUUUGUUCAACGAUUAAUAGUCCUACGUGAUCUG